rnacentral:rRNA from 1 species
UAAAUAUAUAUGUAUAUAUUUAUUAGAUAAAUUUUUGUAAAGAUAGUAAAUAAAUAUUAAUGUAGUUGUAAAGGUAGAGGUAGUAUCUAAAUUUGUGCCAGCAGUUGCGGUUAGACUUAUAUUACUUAGAUAUAAAUAUAGGUAUUAGUUAUUGUUUGGUGAGAACCAAUAUAUUUGGUGAAAAAGGAUAAGAGUUUUAUAGUAACUAAGUUAAUUUAGUUUACUAGGAUUAGAUACCCUAUUAAUAUUUUUUUAUAUCUAGGUAGAUUUAAAUAUUUUGGCGGCUUGUUUGUUUUAGAGGAAUUUGCUUAUAAUAGAUAAACCACGUUUUAUUAAAAUUAAAUAAGGUUUUGUAUAUCAUUAUUUAAAUAAUUUUAAAAGGGUUAGUUAUUGGAAAAUAAUUUAAAAAUUUAAAUCAAGAUGCAGAUAUUUUUAAGAAAAGUUAAUUACAAUAGUAAUUUAUUAUACGUGUAACUAAAAUUAGGUUGGUUAAAGGUGAAUUUAAUUGUAGUCAUAUGUAACCGAAUAUAUAAAAUUAGUGCACAAAUUGCCCGUCACUCUCUAUGGGAUAAGUCGAAACAAAGUAAGCACACCUGAAGGUGUGCU